GCAGGAGCCGAAACUCAGAGUCCUUCAAGGCCUAUAGCCAGGUGAUGGAGGACGAGGAGAAGGCAGUGGAGAUCUUGGGCAACACGGAAGCUGCUCAUCCUCCAUCCCCCAUCCGCUGCUGCUGGCUCCGCCUCCGCUGCUUGGCAGCUACUAGCAUUAUCUGUGGCUGCUCUUGCCUGGGAGUCAUGGCUCUGGUGUUUGCCAUCAAGAUGCCACUCGGUGAUUGGCCGCGUCUGAAGCCGCGCCCCGGCGUCGCGUUGCAGCCUUAGGUCCAGCCGAGCGCCGACUCACGCCCCAGCCCCAAUUGGGCGGCCGGUUUCCAAUUGGAAGGGCUUCUGAGCCUCAGUCUUCGGGCGGCGCUGACCAUUGGCGGGCAGGAUGGAGGCGGAGCCUUGGGUUGUCGCCCGCCGCCGGGGGUUAAGGUGAGCGACUGCAGGCAAACCCGGCGACAGCGCAGCUCGCGUCGACCCUGGCUCCUCUGCCUGCCCCCUCAGGCCCCCGCCUCCUUCAGGAUGACGCUGGACGUGGGGCCGGAGGAUGAGCUGCCCGACUGGGCCGCCGCCAAAGAGUUUUACCAGAAGUACGACCCUAAGGACGUCAUCGGCAGAGGAGUGAGCUCUGUGGUCCGCCGUUGUGUUCAUCGAGCUACUGGCCACGAGUUUGCGGUGAAGAUUAUGGAAGUGACAGCUGAGCGGCUGAGUCCUGAGCAGCUGGAGGAGGUGCGGGAAGCCACACGGCGAGAGACACACAUCCUUCGCCAGGUCGCCGGCCACCCCCACAUCAGUGAGGCUGUCUUCCUUGCUCCUGUUAGCAGACGACCCCCCACCUCCUGCUGGCCCUGCCCAUAGCCCACUUCCGCCAACAUUGCCUCCACACCUCUCCU
ensembl:lncRNA novel transcript